rnacentral:lncRNA from 1 species
GGCUAAGAUGGUAGGGAAGUGGACAGUGGUGAUUGUUUAUCAAUAAUGGUAAAUGGGCGUCAAAAUGGAAACAACAAUAAGCCCACGUGAUUGAUGUACAAAGAAAAGACUAAAAUAAUGCCAUAUACAAAAUCGAUUUCUCUCUCCUCUGUUCCCCAAAUUAGCUCAUCUUCAAUCCAUUUCCUCUCAGAAAAGGUAGUCUCACAAAACGCGAAAGAGAGUUUCAUAUGGAACCCAUUAACAGAAAUUAGGCAAAAAAAGGAAAUUCUUUGUUUCAGUCGGAGUCUUCAUAUUCACCAUAUACGGAAGCAGAAAAUAGGCAGAAAUUUUCGAAGAAUUUGUGGGUUGAGAAUGUGAGAAAUUUGUUAAUGAUUUACAUGUAUUUUUGGGGUAUCUAUAGCGCCACUGUGAAAGAGGAGGCAGGCCGGACAAUAUAUACAUACAUACUAGCUUGAUUUCUGAAUUAUGUUUGCAUUGUGUUAUUGAAAUUGAAGAUGAAGAUGAAGACGAAGAUGCAAAUUUGAAGAAAUCUCUUGUACUUCUGCUGUAGAGAAACAUAAGUAUUGUUGAAGAUAUAGAUCCCGUUUGAUUCUCAUUUUUAUCAAAAUGUAUUUUUCUCUAUCUUCUUUUU